rnacentral:rRNA from 1 species
GAUGAACGCUGGCGGCGUGCCUAAUACAUGCAAGUCGAGCGGUAAGGCUCCUUCGGGAGUACACGAGCGGCGGACGGGUGAGUAAUACGUAGGAACGUACCCCAAAGUGAGGAAUAACCAGCCGAAAGGUUGGCUAAUACCGCAUAUGCUCUACGGAGUAAAGCAGCAAUGCGCUUUGGGAACGGCCUGCGUCCGAUUAGCUAGUUGGUAAGGUAAAGGCUUACCAAGGCGACGAUCGGUAGCUGUUCUGAGAGGAUGAUCAGCCACACUGGAGCUGAGACACGGUCCAGACUCCUACGGGAGGCAGCAGUAGGGAAUUUUCCACAAUGGGCGAAAGCCUGAUGGAGCAACGCCGCGUGCAGGAUGAAGGCCUUAGGGUUGUAAACUGCUUUUAUCUGUGACGAUUAUGACAGUAGCAGAUGAAUAAGGAUCGGCCAACUCCGUGCCAGCCGCCGCAGUAA